UCAUUACUUUUGGCUCAUUCUCGUCUUCAUCACUACUGCUACUGUCAUCCGGGCUCUUUUUUUCCCAUGGUUUAGGGCGCAACAAUGGCUCGGCUGACUCUGGUCUAGCUCCCAACACAUCAAGCCAUUCGUAAUUCCUUGAGGUACCGCGCCAAACAACAUAAGCUUCCCUACGGCCUAGUACUCGGCUAACUUCAUCGGUCGUCACAGCAAUGUAGCCUAUCCAGUUUGAUUCACGAUCCCAGGCUUCUCUUGAUAGGGAAUGCAAGAAGAGAGCUUGAAAGAAGUCGACUUUUGCAGUUGCAUAGAGGAAACAGUAGACUUGAUAAUCAGAAGCUGAUUCGAGCAUGACUUUGUUAAAGAAUGCGUUCUUGCCAUAUCUGCUGCUGCCAGCGUACUUGGAGUUCCCAUCAUUGUUGAAGGCGUCAUAGGUGGCUUGGCAGAAGUCGCCACAGCGAAGGAUUAGGCGACGGAGGCUGAAGCUCAGAGGGUCGAGGAGGCCGUUCCAGUCGUCGCGGCCGAGAAGUUCCGGCCAUGUUGGCUCUGUUUGAGAUGAGUCCACCAUGGUUCUUUGCGGAUAAGAAUUUGAGGUGAAUGCAAUGUGGGAUCCUAGGCAAUUACCUGUGGUUCUGUGGAGGAGAGCGCCAAAUGAUAUGGCAACUUGAAAUUUGGACCGCACAUAUCAACUUCUUGCUGUCCACCAAUAAAUGGUUGACACAUCAUUUUACAUUAAAGUGUCACCUAAUUUUUGAGGCAUUUUCAAGAAUAUCCAAUUUUAAGAGUAUGAGUUGAAAAAUGUCCACUCAUUUGAAUUUAGUGUCAAUUUGUCUAUUAUGCCCUUAAUGAAAAGCUACAUUUUGAAAUGGUAUUUUCGAUAUUUUAAAUAUCAUUCUCGACAUUUUGAUUUUUUUAUCAAUUUGUCAAGAAUUUUGAGAAGUGGCUUCCAUGAAAAGUUAUAUUAAAAUAAAUUCGGACGACAAAAAAAGAAAAAGAAAAUAUAAUACUUUAAAAAAAUAACGUGAAAACAAAAAAUAUGAUACUUUUAAAAAAAAAAAAAAAAUCACGUCUCCGUGACAUGGAGACAUUCUCGACAUUUGCCACCGUGUCACGGAGACAUUCUCGACAUUACUAAUGUCAUUCUCGACAUUUGAAUACCGUGUCAUUAAAAAAAAAAAAUUGAAAAAAUCCCGUCUCCGUGACACGGACAAGUAAUAGCCCUUAAUGAAAAGCUACAUUUUGAAAUGGUAUUUUCGAUAUUUCAAAUGUCAUUCUCGACAUUUUGAUUUUUUUAUCAAUUUGUCACGAAUUUUGAGAAGUGGCUUCCAUGAAAAGUUAUAUUAAAAUAAAUUCGGACGACAAAAAAAGAAAAAGAAAAUAUAAUACUUUAAAAAAAUAACGUGAAAACAAAAAAUAUGAUACUUUUAAAAAAAAAAAAAUCACGUCUCCGUGACACGGAGACAUUCUCGACAUUACUAAUGUCAUUCUCGACAUUUGAAUACCGUGUCAUUAAAAAAAAAAUUGAAAAAAUCCCGUCUCCGUGACACGGACAAGUACCUCCGUGUCACGGUGACAUUCUCGACGUUACAUAUGUCAUUCUCGACAUUUGAACGUUUCAUUUGUCUAGAAUGACAUUUUAUUUUGAACAUAACAUUUCUCGACAUUUGAAAAUAUCGUUCUCGACAUUUCUGAGUCAACGAAAAAUAUAGCAUUUAUUGUGAUUUGACAUGUAUACUUUUGAAAUAAAUAUAGCAGGUUAUGUGUCAAAAUUUUAUUCGUCAAUAACAAUUUUACAAAAAUGUCCAUUUUUUUGUCGUAGUGUGGAAUAAAAAAUUGUUAAUAAGGGUAUUUUGGUCUAAAUUUUUUCAAAUUGGACAUUUUUGCAAUGGUUUGCAAUAAUUGACAUUUUUGCAAAUGACUAAGUAAAAAUUGACAUUUGACAAAAUUUCCUCAUCUUAAAACUCCAACAAAGAUGGGUGGAUAAUUAAAAUGAUAGGGUGAUUGAAUAAGGAAACCUUUGGAAAGCCUCCUAAUAGAACAUUAAGAUAGAUGGGUUUAACGAGGCAACGUUCUAUUACUCCAAUUUAAUUAUAGUUAUUUGAGCUUUUUUCCUUCAUUUGGUAUAUUUAUCUUCGCAAACAAAGGUGUAGUGAUAAAAAGUUUGUAACUGUUUCGAUUAAUGGCUUAAGGAAUUUCUACUUUGGUAAGAGACUUCUUGAAUUGACAUUGGCUCUAAUAUUGAUCCAAUGGUGUAUGCGGUGAGCCAUAUUUAAUUUCUCGAGAGUUUGAAUUUAGUUUUAGACCCUGCAUCUCCCUCUCCAGGCUCCAAUCGAGCAAGCUACUCCACACAUCAUGGUGAGUCGUCAUAGUUGUUUGCUGUAUUUUCUAUAAGAAUUGCAAGCAAUAUUUUUGUUUUACUCAUUUUACUUCAUUUUAGAUAAUGUAAAUGUUUCACAAGUUAACCUGUUACAUAUAUUAAAAAAGCCACUUGAACGAUCCCCCUGGACAUCCAGGGAUUGUUCAAGCAAUAGCCCCCUUUAUUUGUUGAAAAAGGCCGUUGGGAUAGGCCCAAAAACAGUGCCAAAUGGCGCCCCCUGUUUUGGCCCUAUUUUCAAGCGCAUUUGUUUUGGGUAAUGAUUGAACCAAUUGAAUUGAUUAAGGAGUGGACAUGAUGUUGUCAUUUCUUGUUGACAUGACUAGACUUGUUUACCCUAAUCGUGAAAUGCCAAUUUACCUUCUUUGUUUUCUCAUAGACAAUAGGGGUAGCUCAAUCUCAAGUUACACUUAUUAAUCAAUUGGUAUUUGGAAUGAAAUAAUGAAUAUAUUUUUAAAUUAUGAUGCAUUGAUAUAAUCAUUGACAUAAUACUAGACGACACUCUAUCAUUAAACUAUAUCAAAUACAAUCAAUUUUUUCUUCUAAUCAUAUCUUGCCAACUAACAUUAUGUCGCUCCAUCUGUCAACCACUUUAUGUUUAUGUCAAAGUGGCAUAACCCUAUGUUUUAAGAUUAUCAUGGAAAUUAAGAUGUCGUUUAAAUGUCUAUAUGCUAAGAAAAUGUUUAUGAAAUCAAUACUGAUUUGUUCAUUUAUCGGCCUCCCUCUCUCUCAGGGUCACAUAUUCCCAAGACAUAAACUCAUAUAUUCAAAAUGAUACCAUUUUAUAAGUUUUGUUUGUCAACAGUCAUGAUGACGUCACAAAUGACAUUAGUUUAAAUUAAUUUAUUGGCAAAAAUAGUCAUGUGAUAAAAUUUAUUUACAAUCUUCUAUUGUUGUCAAAAAUCUAUCAUUGAUAUCUAUCCAUAACAAUGGGGGUAAGGAGUCGUCACUAGAUUUUAUUGAUAAAUCAUAAAUCUAAUUUUCUCCCAAUAGUUGAAGUAAAAUCAAUACCCUACACUAAAUACAAAUAAACACAAGUCUGGUUUGUUUCAUUCAAUUUUUUUAUUUUUAUUUUUUAAUUUUCACCAAUAGGAAGCAAAUGAACAAGGGUUGAUAAUAUUUUUGGUCAUUAAAGUUUGAUUAAAAUAUCAAUUAGCUGGUCGCGUAACUUUAAUUUGUCGUAAUCAUUACUCGAUUUCAAUUUCCAUCCUAAACUUUUGUCCCCGGCUUUCUGAGUAAAAACACCCCCAAUCAUGUCAAUGGGUGAAAAUCUUGAAAUGAGAGAUGAAUACUUUUCGAGUAUGCUCUGUCGGAUGAAUGAUACAUCUAUUUUUUAACAUGAUUUAUCUUCAAACUUUACAAUUGCAACAUAGUUAGCUGGCAUAUUUAUUGAGAAAUACAUCGCAUAUUUUUAUCAUUUUUAAUAUUCAUGUAGAAUUGUGACAUUAAAUUUAGUAACGAUGGAUAAUGGAGUGACUAUUGAGAUUUUACUGAAAGUUCAAUGACUAAAAAUGAAAUUAAUCCUACUAAGAAUCCUAGUAUUUUUCUUACGGUGCACAAAGGCAUGUUUGCCUAAGUUCAUUGAAUUUCAAAGAAAGUAUUUAUUUAUUAUUUUGCAGAAUUGAAGAAAGUAUUAUUAAAUCAAGACUCAUCGUUUUCUAAUAUAAUUAAAAAAAAAAAAAAAAACUCUUGCGAUUAUUAAAGUGAAAAUGGUUGAUUUAUUUAUUUUGAACUCGAGUUCAUACAAGUUAGUGAGGUCAUGCACUAAACACCCAAUUUGUGUGAAAAAGGGACGAAAGAAGAGGUCAGAGAAAGGUUUGUGAAGAUAUUAGUAAUUUGACAUUGGAGAGAACAUACCAAACAUGGAGAUGACCUAAAAAAUAAAAAUAAAAUUGAAAUUUUUGAAUGAGAUGAAGUAAAUUUUGUUAUGUUUGGAACAAGAAUGGAACUCAAUAUUAUUAACCAUGUGAAGAACAUUUGUGUUGUCACAAAAAAGAAAUUGAAGGCGUUGUAGAAAGAAGGCAAUGUUGCCAGGGCGAAAGCCGCGAAACUACACUUGAACAAACAAUAAUAGUUGAUUUUUUUGACCUCAAAAAAGUACAAUUUGUAUCAAGAUAAACAUGAUAACAAUUUUUGUUGAGUGAAUAGACAACCUAUCUAGUAAAUGUUUGAGAACGCAUAAAGUAAAAUGAGCUUUGAGAUAGAUAAUAAUCGUCAACUUGCACAGUUCUACUGGAAUAUCAAUUUAUAACAAUUUGACUUAUUGCAUCGAAAGACGAGUAAAAAGAAAGCCUCAAAGACAUAUCAACUAAGCUAAGAGACUACUUUGAGCAUAUAGAAAAAGAAACGCAAUUUGCAAGCAUCAAGGAGAAGUUUUCAUUAAUGGAGCCAAUAAGUUAGUUCUUGUAUAUGGUUACUUAAAAACGUUGAAAAAACGCAUUUUCUCCAUUUAGUUAUCUUAUUUUCAAUUUUGGACUUACUAGAAUAGAAUGAACGAGGUGAAUAUUAGUGGGUUGAAUAUCUAGAUAGGAAUUUACAAUAAUAUCUAAACUUGAAAUUUGAUCGAAUUCUUUGACAAUUAAGUGAGCUCAUCUUCUUUUUAUUUUCAUGAAAUAAUUCAGUUUUUAGCUAACAACAUUGGUGUUGAGGGACGAGGAACAAGUGUCCAAGUCUGGUUGCAAUGAAAAGCUUGGACCCUACCAUGUCGGCCAUCAACUCUUCUUGUUGGGUCAAUCACAAGGCAAUGUGUUCCACGAGCAAAUGACUUCACUAUUGGACUUGUGACAUCUCCUCUUUUUCGAUUUAACUCCUUCACAUUAGAGUCAUGAGACAUGUCGGUUGCAAUCUCAAAAGCAUUAUUAGAAAUUGUCUAGAACUAUGUUGUACGUGUUAAAGUUGGUCAUUCACGAUUUUAUAUUAUAGAUAUAGAUUCAUCGUCGAUUCUUCCUAUCGUUCCUUUUAUCUUGGAUAUCUCACUUAGAAUGAUUAGCAUUCUUUUCAAUAUUGUGCCCAUGGUAUGUACUGCAUGUGAUCGGUGAGAACGUUUCUUUCAAAACUUAGAUUAGCGCUCAGUGUGAGUGCUGAAGUUCUCGAGUAUAUGGGAUAUGAGAGAUGAUGUGUUAAGAAAUUCUUUUUAUUAUAAAUAACGAUUACUUGAAAGUAUGAUUAUGAGAUAAUUCUUGAAAAAAGUGUUUCAAGAAUAAAAGUACACGAUGAUCACUAAAAUUGAUUAUCACACAUGCUUACACUCAAUAAAAGACCCAAAUAAGCUACUUAUAAGUUUAGCCAAACAUGCCUUCAUUCCACAACAUACCUGAUAAAGUAAAGCAAGAAAAAGCACAUUAUAGAUUAGUGCCAAAUUCCAACCUAAGUUAAAGGAACAGAGAAUCUACAAUUCUUGGAAACCAGAUGGCAACACAGAGCAUUUAGAAUCGGCCAGCGUAGAAACGCCAAACCUUUUAUAGCAUUCGAUCUUCAUCACUCGAGUACCUAAUGCAUGAGCUCAAGAGUGGCAUGGAGUCGUGACCACUUCAAAAUUCAGGCACGGGUUGAUCCUCGUCCGAUAGUGGUUCCAAAAUCCAGUCUCCAUUUUCAUCAAGAACCAUCCCUUUAUUCUUCUCAACCCCCAGUUAAAAACGGGGUAACUGAUAUCCCAGUUUCUGCUAUUGUUUUUGGUAGUCCUCAAGUUGGGAACAGGGCUUUCAAUGAAAGAUUGAACAAAUAUCAAAAUCUGAAUGUGCUGCAUAUCAAGAACGAGAUUGAUAUGAUUCCGCAUUAUCUGAGUCCAUUACCGGGAUAUUCGAAUACUGGAAUCGAGCUGGAGAUUGACAACAGAAAAUCUCCAAGUUUGAAGGAAUCGAGCAAUCCGAGUGACUGGCAUAAUUUGCAGGUUAUGCUUCAUGUUGGGGCGGGUUGGAAUGGUAGUGAAGGGGAAUUUGAACUGAAAGUGAAGAGGAGUUUGGCUUUGGUGAAUAAAUCCAGUGCCAUUUUAAAUGAUGAGUAUUUGAUUCCUGGUUCUGCGAAUGCUGAUAAAAUUGCUAAACAUGCACCAAGACUAUGCCCUGUUAAUAUUAUGCUCAGAUCUUCAUCUUUAUACUGGUCUCUCAGUGCAUUAAUCUUAGCCAAAAUCUGUUCUCUUGCACUCAAUUUUGUGAAAGAUGAAUUGGGAUCAUUAGAAACGUAAAUUGUAAGCCAACAGUUCAUCACUUUUGGCUCAUUCUCGUCUUCAUCACUACUGCUACUGUCAUCUGGGCUCCUUUUUUCCCAUGAGUUAGGGCGCAAUAAUGGAUCGGCUGACUCUGGUCUAGCUCUCAACACAUUAAGCCAUUCGUAAUUCCUUGAGGUACCGCACCAAACGACAUAAGCUUCCCUACGGCCUCGUACCCUGCUAACUUCAUCGGUCGUCACAGCAGUGUAGCCUAUCCAGUUUGUUUCUCGAUCCCAGGCUUCUCUUGACAGGGAAUGCAAGAA
rnacentral:lncRNA from 1 species